rnacentral:rRNA from 1 species
UACGUAGGGACCGAGCGUUGUCCGGAAUCAUUGGGCGUAAAGAGCGUGUAGGCGGCUAUUUAAGUCCUGCGUGAAAUCCUGCGGCUCAACCACAGACGGUCGUGGGAAACUGGAUGGCUAGAGUGCGGGAGAGGAGAGUGGAAUUCCCGGUGUAGCGGUGAAAUGCGCAGAUAUCGGGAAGAACACCCGUGGCGAAGGCGGCUCUCUGGAACGCAACUGACGCUGAGACGCGAAAGCGUGGGGAGCAAACAGG